rnacentral:RNase_P_RNA from 1 species
AUAGUUCGUUAGACGACCGCUUGCCCUAAAAACGUAAGAGGAAAGUCCGGGCAGCAUAGAAUAAUGACAGUUGUUAACGGCAACCGGGGGUGACCCUAGGGAAAGUGCCACAGAAACAAAACCGCCUUGAUCAUUUCGGUGAAAAAGGUAAGGGUGAAAUGAGUGGGGUAAGAGCCCACAGCGUCGUAUGGUGACAUGCGGAGAAGGUAAACCCUGUCAGCUGCAAGGAGAUCAACACAUAAGGGCGAUUCGUCCGUUGGUCGCUACCCGCUUGAUCCUGCAAGCAAUUGCAGGGCUAGAUAGAUGGUCGUCCCAGACAAAACCCGGCUUACAGGCGGACUAUCCAA